UACGUAGGGUGCAAGCGUUGUCCGGAAUUAUUGGGCGUAAAGAGCUCGUAGGCGGUUUGUCGCGUCGGCUGUGAAAACUCGGGGCUCAACCCCGAGCCUGCAGUCGAUACGGGCAGACUAGAGUGCUGUAGGGGAGACUGGAAUUCCUGGUGUAGCGGUGAAAUGCGCAGAUAUCAGGAGGAACACCGGUGGCGAAGGCGGCGACCUGGUCCUUUUACUGACGCUGAGGCGCGAAAGCGUGGGGAGCAAACAGG
rnacentral:rRNA from 1 species